UGCGUGGUAGUUCAAUGGAGAGAACAUUAUGAGCGGUUGUCAUGCUUCAUGUGACACGGACAGCAAUAAUUCUUUUUUCGAUGAUAACGAAGAGAUGGGGGUUCGAUUCCCUCCCACGCAA
rnacentral:tRNA from 1 species